rnacentral:rRNA from 1 species
AUACGGAGGGUGCGAGCGUUAAUCGGAAUUACUGGGCGUAAAGCGCGCGUAGGCGGCUAGGUCAGUCGGAUGUGAAAGCCCUGGGCUUAACCUGGGAACUGCAUUCGAUACUGCCUAGCUAGAGUAUGGUAGAGGGAAGCGGAAUUCCGGGUGUAGCGGUGAAAUGCGUAGAUAUCCGGAGGAACACCAGUGGCGAAGGCGGCUUCCUGGACCAAUACUGACGCUGAGGUGCGAAAGCGUGGGGAGCAAACAGGAUUAGAAACCCCGGUAGUCC